rnacentral:misc_RNA from 1 species
CAAGGAUUAAGAGGUGAGGGUGAUAAAAAAAAUCGUAUAAAAGGAGAGAGAAAACGCGAAGGCAAUUCAGUCGAGUGAGCAUCUCCGACACGGCAACAGCUGCAGUGCGCUAUCUGUCACCAUCUGCCUUCUUCACCGUAUUGCCAGUUCGCAUCCAUGGUAAACCUUGGCGUGGUCCCGCUGUUGUGUGUUGUAUCGUUGAUGGCUGGGUCGACCGCUGGUGUAGCGAUGUCUUCUUGGUAUGGUGGAUACCAAACCGCAACGCCGGCGCCUUACUACACAACAACUUACGUUACUACCAGUUACUGCACCGAGGUCACUACUAAGGCACCGGAGUUUUAAAUCACAACGCUGCCCCGAACCACUACACUGACGCUUUGAAGUGUUACUCUGCCCUGAGUUACUACACCACCAAGGCGACGAAGUACUACAUGACUACGCAUGCUGCCCCCUCCUACUACACCGAUUCUCUUAACUGCUACACCGAGGCUCCCGCUGGUUACUCCACCAAAACGGUCGAAUACUACACCGAAGCGCCAAAGUUUUAUUCUGCCCCGAUCUACACAACCACAACUGAGGCGGCCAAAUGCUCCAGUUUACUACACAACGACGUGCGCUACACCUAGCUACAACACCGCUGCCCUCAAGUACGACACCGAGGAAGCCGCCUUCUUCCAAGGUUCAUAUGUAUUACGUCAGCAAUUCUCCCGACUAUGUCACCACUACUCAAGCUGCUUUGAACUCUACACCGAAGUUCUGAAAUAUUUCUCUGGAUGUGUUGAAAUACAAGAUUGAUUGAUAAA